rnacentral:rRNA from 1 species
AGUGAACGCUGGCGGUAGGCCUAACACAUGCAAGUCGAACGGCAGCACAGUAAGAGCUUGCUCUUACGGGUGGCGAGUGGCGGACGGGUGAGGAAUACAUCGGAAUCUACUUUUUCGUGGGGGAUAACGUAGGGAAACUUACGCUAAUACCGCAUACGACCUACGGGUGAAAGCAGGGGAUCUUCGGACCUUUCGCGAUUGAAUGAGCCGAUGUCGGAUUAGCUAGUUGGCGGGGUAAAGGCCCACCAAGGCGACGAUCCGUAGCUGGUCUGAGAGGAUGAUCAGCCACACUGGAACUGAGACACGGUCCAGACUCCUACGGGAGGCAGCAGUGUGGAAUAUUGGACAAUGGGCGCAAGCCUGAUCCAGCCAUACCGCGUGGGUGAAGAAGGCCUUCGGGUUGUAAAGCCCUUUUGUUGGGAAAGAAAAGCAGCAGGUUAAUACCCCGCUGUUCUGACGGUACCCAAAGAAUAAGCACCGGCUAACUUCGUG